CUGAGAAUUCUCUCGCCUGCCUUUGGCCCUUAGGCUCUGGUAGAUUGCAAAUAACAUGCUUUCUUUCUGUUCCCGGGUGGCUUCGGACCCCUGUCGGAUCGGAAAUCCCAAGGAGGCGUCGGACCCCGUCCGAUAGUAAAUCCCAAGUAAGGUACCUGCCGUCGGCAGAUUUGAGCUUUCUGCCUGGACACCUAAUACCCACAGUCCUCCAGUCAAUCCCAAUUAAGGUACCCGCCGUCGGCAGAUUUGAGCUUUCUUCUUGGACACCUAAUACCCACAGUCCUCCAGGCUCUGGUAGAUUGCAAAUGACCUGCUUACUUUCUGUUCCCGGGCUGCGUUCUGACACCUGUUGGACAGUAAAUCCCAAGUAAGGUACCUGCCUUCGGCAGAUUUGAGCUUUCUUCUUGGACACCUAUACCCACAGUCCUCCAGGAGGGUCCUAAGGCUCCGGUAGAUUGCAAAUAACCUGCUUUCUUUCUGUUCCCGGGCUGAGUUCGGACCCCUGUCGGAGAGUAAAUCCCAAUGUUUUAGACGCCCAGUUGCACAACUUGAUUGCCUUACAAAUGACCUGCUUCCAGGAUGCGGAAAUUCCUAAUUUCUUCUGUGACCCUUCUCAACUCCCCCAUCUUGCAUGUUGUGACACCUUCACCAAUAACAUAAUCAUGUAUUUC
rnacentral:lncRNA from 1 species